rnacentral:rRNA from 1 species
UACGUAGGGUGCAAGCGUUGUCCGGAAUUAUUGGGCGUAAAGAGCUCGUAGGUGGCUUGUCACGUCUGCUGUGAAAACUCGGGGCUCAACCCCGAGCCUGCAGUGGAUACGGGCUAGCUAGAGUGCGGUAGGGGGGACUGGAAUUCCUGGUGUAGCGGUGAAAUGCGCAGAUAUCAGGAGGAACACCGGUGGCGAAGGCGGGUCUCUGGACCGAUACUGACGCUGAGGAGCGAAAGCAUGGGUAGCGAACAGG